AGUGAACGCUGGCGGUAGGCCUAACACAUGCAAGUCGAACGGCAGCACAGUAAGAGCUUGCUCUUACGGGUGGCGAGUGGCGGACGGGUGAGGAAUACAUCGGAAUCUACUUUUUCGUGGGGGAUAACGUAGGGAAACUUACGCUAAUACCGCAUACGACCUACGGGUGAAAGCAGGGGAUCUUCGGACCUUGCGCGAUUGAAUGAGCCGAUGUCGGAUUAGCUAGUAGGCGGGGUAAAGGCCCACCAAGGCGACGAUCCGUAGCUGGUCUGAGAGGAUGAUCCGCCACACUGGAACUGAGACACGGUCCAGACUCCUACGGGAGGCAGCAGUGGGGAAUAUUAGACAAUGGGCGCAAGCCUGAUCCAGCCAUACCGCGUGGGUGAAGAAGGCCUUCGGGUUGUAAAGCCCUUUUGUUGGGAAAGAAAAGCAGCAGGUUAAGACCCCGCUGUUCUGACGGUACCCAAAGAACAAGCACCGGCUAACUUCGUG
rnacentral:rRNA from 1 species